rnacentral:lncRNA from 1 species
GUUUCUCUCUACGGUCGUUUAGUCUUUCUAGGUUUCCCAUUUCCAACGCUUCACUAUAAUCCACGUAAGGGUAAAUAAUUCUUAGGGCUCUUUUCUGAAUUUGUUCAAUUUCUUUUGAAAGAUAAUUAGGAAGGCCUGAGUGAAAGGCCUGACAAGCGUAUUCAAGGACAGAUCUGAUACAGGCGCAGUAGAAUUUGAUCAAUGAAUUAGUAUCGACAUUCGCACGUUUUAACUGUUUCAGGAGAUAAAGUCGUUUGGAAGCUUUUAAUAAAAUAUUUGCCACAUGGACAUUCCAUUUUAAAUCAUCGGUAAUAGUCAUUCCUAAGAUUUUUGCGGAUGUUACCACUUCGAAAUGUUUAUCAUUUACUUUGACUGGUUCGUCUCUGCAAGGGUCUUUAGUAAAAUUUAUUCUAAGUUCUUUGCAUUUUCCAGAAUUUAAUUGAAAUUUGUUAUUAUUUGACCAAUUAGCCACUUGAUCAACUAUAUCUUGUAAAUUGCUAUUUUCAGUUCUAGGGAUGACCUCCGAAAUUGUGGAAUCAUCAGCGAAUUUCCACAUCUUGUUUGUUGAAUUCUCUGAAACGUUCAAAUCGUUUAUCAUAAUGAGGAACAACCAUGGUGCUAAUUUGGUCCCUUGAGGUACCCCUGCCUGGACUUGCAGUAUAUUGGAAUGGCACUUAUAAUUCAACUUAAUUCUUUGGGUACGCUUAUAUAAGAAGUCUGUAAUCCAAUUAGUGACUGAUGGUUUAAUUCCGUAGUUAAUAAGUUUUGAUAUAAGAAGGGUAUGGUCCACCAAGUCAAAAGCUUUCCUAAAGUCUAAUAAGGCAACUUUCACUGUAGAACCUGUUCCAUCUGUUGCGGCCAACCAGUUAUGUAGCAUUGAGAUAAUUGCAUGAGUUGUACAUGAUUUAGGAAUGAAGCCAAAUUGGUGGGGAUCUAUUUUCUGUAAAAUCUUAGGUUUCAGUUCGUGGUCGAUUACAAACCCUUCCGCGAUUUUCGAUAGUGUAGACGUCAAUGAUAUUGGUCUCAGGUCUUUGUUGAAAUCAG